GCUGGAGCCCGAGCCCAGCCGCGUGGGGAGGGGCGGGGCAGGGCGGAGCCAGAGCCGAGCGGAGCCGCCUGAGGUCGCAGGUGUUCCGCCUUCCCGAACCUGAGCGCUAGCUCUCCGGGAUUAGCUCCAAGCCACCCGCCCCACAGCUGAGGACCGACUCCUGCGAAAUAAUCGACGCCCGGGGGCAGCGCGCCAGGCUGGCUGGCCCGGGCUCGCGGGUCCUCGGGAGCGCGCGCGCCUGGACGCCGCUGCGGACAAUGCUGCUGUACCUGCAGCUUUUUCGUCUAGUGCCGGAACGCGCGGCAGAGUCUCCUUGGGGGCUGCCUGUGGUGGCCGAUAGCCCGGCUUCCUUAGCGAAGGUGGUGAUGGCAGAACUAGCCAACCUGAAGUUAGAAAACAAGCCAUGGCCUGGAGGGACACACUCUCUCCACUACCACUACCUGGCCCUGUCAGAGCCAGGCCCGGGCCUUCCCCAGUUUCUGGCUAUAGGCUACGUGGACGACCAGCCCUUCAUCCAUUACAACAGUCGUGUGGACAGCGCCAAGCCCCAGGCCCCGUGGAUGGCAACCAUGGACGCCCAGUACUGGGAGACAGAGACCCAGAAGCAGAGAGCCUGGGGAAAGGUGCAGCAGGUGGAGAUGUGGACUGUGAUGGGCUACCACAACCAGAGCAGUGGCAUGCACAGCACUCAGCGGAUGUUCGGCUGUGAGAUCAGGGAAGACGGCCAUACCAGCAGCUUCUGGCAGUUUGGCUUUGAUGGUCAGGACCACCUGUCCCUGGACCUGGAGACUCUGAGCUGGGUGUCAGCCAAACCUGCAGCUGUGUGGACCAAGCUGGUGGGAGACAGAGCACUGCUAUGCUGAGUAUGACAAGGCCUACCUGGAAGGCCUCUGCCUCUUUUCCCUGUGCAGGUACCUGGAGCUGGGAGGCCAGAGCCUCACCCGGAAAGAGCCGCCCACAGUGCAGGUGACAAGACACACAGCCCAGGAUGGGGGCAUCACACUGAAAUGCUGGGCCCGGGGCUUCUACCCACGGGACAUCUCACUGAGCUGGUGGCUGGGCGAGGAGGAGCUGGUUCUAGAGACUGAGUAUGUGGAGACACGCCCCAGUGGAGAUGGCACCUACCAGGCGUGGGUGGUGGUGCGGGCGGCCGCCAGGAUGGAGGACCGGUACACUUGCCAUGUGCAGCACUCUAGCCUGAACCGUAUUCUCACUGUGGCCUGGGAAGCACCCUUUCAUCCGUGGAUAACCAGUGCUGUGCUUAUCUCCACCAUCUUCACCAUCACUUUCUUGCCAAUGGCUAGAGUGUUGCUCUUCAUCAAGCAGUACUCUCAAGAUAGGCGGGGAAGAAAAACAGGGGUGGAAGGCCCUCACAGCUGGACAACCCCUGUAGGGAGAAAUGCUCUGCUCCCAUCCUGGGGAGGAGCAACUACUCUCGAGCCCCUGUCCCCCAUCUAUGGAAAAGCCCAAGUAUCCCCACCCCAUAGCCAUAUAUUGUCCUGAGGACACCGCGGAUCCCACAGCCAGGGAAGACCACUAGGCCUGACCUUGGAAAGGCCCUGGAGGGGGAGAGGGAAUGGAAGGUGGGGACCCAGGACCCCACCUCUGCCUAACAGUCAAGGAGUUAUGGGGGCAGCAUCCUGACCCCAUCUGCUGGCAUCUGGAAGAAGUGGCCAAAUGCCUGCCUCUUUGUAUAAGUGUGCUCUUGUGUGUAUUUAUAUUUUCUUUUGUAAAGGUGAUUAAAGUGUUGGGGGUGGUGAGGGUGUGUGGUUCUGGGAGCAUGAGGGGGAGGGGGUCCAUGAUGUACAUGCAGGUGUGUAGGGGGUGAGGGUGUAUGAGGAGGUGUGUGGGGUGAGGGGGUGAGGGUCUGUGUGUGGGUGGUAUCUUUCUGUGGAUGAGGACAAAUUCAGAGGGACAGCUGCCCAGGGGCCCGUUAGGAUGGGAAAUGAUAUGGUCAGAAUUUUCCAUCCUGUCCUUUUGGAUGGUUUGAAGUUUUACAAUAAGGGAAAGAGGAGUUUCACCUUGUCCUGUGGAAAUGCUUGUUAAGAUUCUUGUUAAGGGGGGCGCCUGGGUGGCUCAGUCGUUAAGCGUCUGCCUUCGGCUCAGGUCAUGAUCCCAGGGUCCUGGGAUCGAGCCCCACAUCGGGCUCCCUGCUCCGCGGGAAGCCUGCUUCUCCCUCUCCCACUCCCCCUGCUUGUGUUCCCUCUCUCGCUGUGUCUCUCUGUCAAAUAAAUAAGAAUCUAAAAAAAAAAAAAAAGAUUCUUGUUAAGGGUAUGUCUGGGGAAGGUCCAGCCUCACCUCUGAAUUCUCAGUGGAGUAGAAACCCCACAUCUCCCUUGUGAACAAGAAUCUCCUGGGGAGCACACAUUUUUGUUUAUUCAGAAAGCAGUUCCAGUCUCGUGGCCAUCUGAUGUGCAAGGGGAGGGAACUCCAGAGCCACAGCAACGGGACCACUCCACCAUCAUAAAGGACACAAGGCUGGGCCCCUCGUAGGGCAAGGCCCCCUCCACCUCUCUGGAGGACCCCAAGGUAUGACAGAGCCUCUUCUGGGACUUCUGAAACCUUCAUGUCUGCAGCCCUGGGAGGCCCCAAGACCAAGGAUGUGAAAGAUUUGUGAUACUAAGAAAAGAUUCAUCUGCCCUGGUGGCCUGAAGGGCCACAGCAGGGAGCUCCAAACUAUCUGAUUGUACUGAAAAUGUGUCUUAGAUGUCUGUCUGCCUCUCCUCGUAAUGCCAUCAUGAUCCAUGGGUAUAGAACAGGGUUCUGAGCACUUUACAGGUACUAAGCUGUUCAAUCCUCAUGGCACACCUGGGCGGGAGAAUUAAUAAUCCUGUGCUACAGGAAAGGAAGUGGAAGCCCAAGGUCCUACAGCUGGUCCAUGCUGCAGCCAGGAGGGAGGCCAGGAAGUCUGGCUACAGUCAGGGCACCUCACCAUUGCACCGCCACUGUGCCAUUCUGGAAAUGGGCAUGGAAGUCCAGGUCUGCAAUCCCUUAUCUGCGGUUCUGAAAUCCAAAACCCCAAACCAGAAGUUCCUUCCUGAUUUCGGCAUCAAAACCCAACCUGAAGUGAAAUGAGGCUAUCUGUGGGCCAUUGCGCCUUUUCACAAUUUUCCACAGAAGUAUUGAUGUGUUUGGUUACAUUGUGUCACCCCAGACAACCUCUGGAGAUGUUAUGUAAUGUUCAGCAUCUGCACCUUGGCACUUUCUAAAACCCAAAGAAUUCUAAAUUCUUAAAUAUAUCUGGCCCGAAGUGUUUCACAUAAGGACUUGUGGACCUGUAUUAAUAAGGUUUUGUGACAAUAAAGGUUUUAUUUUUACAGUUGU